rnacentral:rRNA from 1 species
UACGAAGGGGGCUAGCGUUGCUCGGAAUUACUGGGCGUAAAGCGCGUGUAGGCGGUCGGGCAAGUCGGAUGUGAAAGCCCAGGGCUCAACCCUGGAAGUGCACUCGAUACUGCUCGGCUAGAGUCCCGGAGAGGAUGGUGGAACUCUCGGUGUAGAGGUGAAAUUCGUAGAUAUCGAGAAGAACACCGGUGGCGAAGGCGGCCAUCUGGACGGUGACUGACGCUGAGACGCGAAAGCGUGGGGAGCAAACAGG